rnacentral:tRNA from 1 species
UGGGAUAUAACUCAGUUGGUAGAGUGCUUGCAAUGGAUGCAAAGGCCCUGAGUUCGAUCCACAGUACCCCCC